UCUGCUCAUGGUGGCCACGGCCCACGAGAAGAUCGUGCAGGCUCUGUCCAACUCGGUCGGGGAGAUCCAUAUGAAGACCAUGCCCGCCGCCAUGUUCCGGCUCCUCACGGGCCAGGAGACCCCGCUGUACAUCUAGGAGCCGAGGCCGGACCCCACGCUGCCCUGACGAGGGUCUGUCUUCCUCCAAGGAGAGCAGGGGCAGUCCGCAGGGCAGUCGGUGUGUGCGCAUCUAGCUGUUCUCGUCGCGGUGCACGAGGUGUGUCUACCUGUGCUGUGCAGUCUGUCCUCCGAGCCCCAGUGCGUCCCCGGAGACAGCGAGCUCCUGGGGCGGCAGGGAAGGGGUCCUGGGAGGCCCCCACUCUCAGGACAUCCGUGUAAGUGAUGUUGGGGAGACACGAUUGUCUUGAACUCUGAGGAGGAGCCGUCGCCGAGUUAAAGAAAGGACGAGGCCACCACAUCCAGCUCCAUCCUUAGAAACCCCACGGGGCUGACUUAACGCCACAGGCCCCUCCUCAGACCCCAGGGUUUCCAGGUGACCCACCUGCUGCCCGUCCUCACCUGUCCACGUGGGCUCCUCCCGGGGACAAGGCGGGCAGCCUGGGCAUCGCCCCUCUUUACAAUCCCUGUCGACACACACGUGCUUCCCAAACACAGAAACCUCACCCCCUGCGCCUCCUGGGGCCAGGCACCUCCCGGGAGCAGCCCCGGCGGGUGAAGGUGACCCCACCCUGGCCCCGCCCCGAGGUCAGUGCUGGCCGACGGCGCGUGUCCGGGAGAUACACUGUGAUAAGAAGCCUUACCCGCUAACAACCACGCUCGGAUUCCCGUCGGCACGGCGUGCCGUGUGCUGCAUGCGCCACGUAGGAAGCCUCGCUGACCCCUAAUAAACCCGACGUCGUCCUCAC